rnacentral:rRNA from 1 species
GAUCAUUAAAGAGUAAGGGUGCUCAGCGCCCGACCUCCAACCCUUUGUUGUUAAAACUACCUUGUUGCUUUGGCGGGACCGCUCGGUCUCGAGCCGCUGGGGAUUCGUCCCAGGCGAGCGCCCGCCAGAGUUAAACCAAACUCUUGUUAUUUAACCGGUCGUCUGAGUUAAAAUUUUGAAUAAAUCAAAACUUUCAACAACGGAUCUCUUGGUUCUCGCAUCGAUGAAGAACGCAGCGAAAUGCGAUAAGUAAUGUGAAUUGCAGAAUUCAGUGAAUCAUCGAAUCUUUGAACGCACAUUGCGCCCCUUGGUAUUCCGAGGGGCAUGCCUGUUCGAGCGUCAUUACACCACUCAAGCUAUGCUUGGUAUUGGGUGCCGUCCUUAGUUGGGCGCGCCUUAAAGACCUCGGCGAGGCCUCACCGGCUUUAGGCGUAGUAGAAUUUAUUCGAACGUCUGUCAAAGGAGAGGACUUCUGCCGACUGAAACCUUUAUUUUUCUAGGUUGACCUCGGAUCAGGUAGGAUACCCGCUGAACUUAAGCAUAU